CCCAGACAGCCAGGAUGUUGGCUUAGAAGCAGCCAUCAUUUAAAGAAAGCGUAAUAGCUCACUGGUCGAGUCGGCCUGCGCGGAAGAUGUAACGGGGCUAAACCAUGCACCGAAGCUGCGGCAGCGACGCUUAUGCGUUGUUGGGUAGGGGAGCGUUCUGUAAGCCUGCGAAGGUGGCCUGUGAGGGUUGCUGGAGGUAUCAGAAGUGCGAAUGCUGACAUAAGUAACGAUAAAGCGGGUGAAAAGCCCGCUCGCCGGAAGACCAAGGGUUCCUGUCCAACGUUAAUCGGGGCAGGGUGAGUCGACCCCUAAGGCGAGGCCGAAAGGCGUAGUCGAUGGGAAACGGGUUAAUAUUCCCGUACUUGGUGUUACUGCGAAGGGGGGACGGAGAAGGCUAUGUUGGCCGGGCGACGGUUGUCCCGGUUUAAGCGUGUAGGUGUGUGUUCCAGGUAAAUCCGGUUCACUUUAACACUGAGGCGUGACGACGAGGCACUACGGUGCUGAAGCAACAAAUGCCCUGCUUCCAGGAAAAGCCUCUAAGCAUCAGGUAACAUCAAAUCGUACCCCAAACCGACACAGGUGGUCAGGUAGAGAAUACCAAGGCGCUUGA
rnacentral:rRNA from 1 species